rnacentral:tRNA from 1 species
GGUCUUGUAGCUCAAUGGUAGAGCAUCGGUCUGUUAAACCGAGGGUUGGUGGUUCGAGCCCACCCGAGACCG